rnacentral:rRNA from 1 species
CCUACGGGUGGCUGCAGUGGGGAAUUUUCCGCAAUGGGCGAAAGCCUGACGGAGCAAUACCGCGUGAGGGAGGAAGGCUCUUGGGUUGUAAACCUCUUUUCUCAAGGAAGAAAAAAAUGACGGUACUUGAGGAAUCAGCAUCGGCUAACUCCGUGCCAGCAGCCGCGGUAAUACGGAGGAUGCAAGCGUUAUCCGGAAUGAUUGGGCGUAAAGCGUCCGCAGGUGGCACUUCAAGUCGAUUGUUAAAGGUCUUGGCUUAACCAAGAACAGGCAGU